CCUAAAAGUGGCUUGCGCACGGAAAUGACAAACGGUAUUCUUUACUUGAGUUCAUGUAUGAAAAGUUUGCUAUUUGUUGCAUUUUAUUUUAUGAUAAAAUUUCGGCAGGAUUUUACCGAGUACAAAUCCUCCGAAAAGCCUAUGAAAACGUUACAUUUUUCUCUGUUGGUGCUGUUCUGGCUUCAUUAUGAAUUCAUUUUUACUCCCAUGAGAGUUCCGUGGAAUUUCCAUGGAAUUUGUGCUU